UGUCAGAAGAUCUUAGUGAUCUUGAAGGCUUAUGUAGUGGAAGCAUAUCAGUGAUAUACUUUGGCCCUAAACCAUGUAGUGAUUUAUAUGUGAGCAGUAGGAUUUUGAAAUGAAUUCUCUGACAUACUGGGAGCCAAUGUAGGGAUUUAAGAAUUGGUGUAAUGUGCUCACAUUUUUGGUCUUUGUUAGAACUCUAGCAGCAGCGUUCUGAACAAGCUGGAGCUGCCUGACAGGUUUUUUUGGAAGACCUGCAAGGAGACCAUUACAAUAGUCUAGCUAGUUAUAAAGGCAUGUACAAGUGUUUCUGAGUCUUGAGCUGACAUGAGCCCUCUAAGUUGUGCGAUGUUUUUGAGGUGGUAGUAGGCCGAUUUUGUUACUGAUUUGAUGUGACUCUCCAAGUGUAAAUCUGAAUCCAUAAUAACCCCCAGAUUUCUGGCUUUAUUUAUUUAUUUGAUGUUUUCAGGGACAGAGAGUGAAGGUGUUGGGUUACUUUAAACCUUUCUUUUUUAGCACCAAAUACAAUGAUCUCAGUUUUGUCUUCAUUUAGUUGUAGGAAAUUUUGACACAUCCAGUCUUUGAUUUGCUCAAUGCACCUGCACAGAAGAUCUAUGGGGCGAUAGUCGUUUGAUGAUAGCGCUACAUAGAUUUGGGUGUCAUCAGCGUAGCAAUGGUGGUCAAUUUUAUUUCUUUGCAUGAUUUGUCCUAGUGGGAGCAUGUAGAUGUUGAAUAAAGUCGGCCCUAAGAUCGAACCUUGGGGGACUCCACACGUUACGUCGGUUGUUUCUGAUACGAAGUCACCAAUGGAAACAAAAUAGUUCCUGUCUUGUAGAUAUUACCUGAACCAGCUUAAGACUGUGCCUGAGAGCCCCACCCAGUUUUCCAACCUGUCCAAAAGUAUUGAGUGGUCGACAGUAUCAAAUGCAGCACUGCUUCUCACCACACACCAAGCACAGCGGCGUCGGUGCUGUCGCAUCCCCGGUGAAAGUAAAUCCAAAUGAAAGAUAGCCUUCGCUGUAUUGCCUCGAACUCACCGUCUUGUCUUUUUUCUUUUGACCACUCAUACUAGGGCCUUCAUCUGUAUCAGAAUUUUGUCCAGGGCCCUGUUCGGCAUUUGCAUUUUCCCUUCUCAAAAACUUCUCCAUCACUGUCACUUGCUUGUCUUGCUGAGAUCCCAAACUGUCACGUGUCGUGCAGCACUAACUCUAUUGUCUUUACAUGCAUUUAUCGCCCUCUGCUGCCACCAACUGAAAUAGAAGCGUAUUACAUUAUCUGUUACACUUUAUUACAGCCACCUGACAAUGGUUAAUUAGGUGAUAUUAGAUAAUUCCCCGCGGCACACCGGUUGAAAAUGACUGCUCUAGAGGACCACUUCUAAAGACGUUUUCCCUGCUCACGUUGAUCAUGUAGGGAACAGACUGCCCUCUUAACCCAUACCCCUUCAAAAAUAACCCAUAAGAACCCGGACCCAUUUCUCCUUCAAGGAAAAUUAUGGGGGAUAUAAAAGAGAUUAAAUAGAGCACAUAGAACCCAUUUCUGACAUUGUUUUCAAAAUACCACCCUCUACUGGCAAAGAUCUGAAAUGUUACAUAUAUGUCACAUUGGGCGUCAAUGGUAAACUAAUUCCUCAUUGGAAAAUAAAUCAACCUGACAAUCGCUUUCUGUUUCGUAAGAAAACUUUUUUUUCUCAUUUGUUUUACAACACGUUACAACAAGUAGCACAUGAGGUCACGGAGGUGGUACCUCUACCUGUUCUGGCGAACCAUAAUGAUAGGACAUUAGGCACAUGUACCUGUGUGCGCGCGCGCACGUGUG
ensembl:lncRNA